CCUACGGGAGGCAGCAGUGGGGAAUAUUGGGCAAUGGGCGCAAGCCUGACCCAGCAACGCCGCGUGAAGGAAGAAGGCUUUCGGGUUGUAAACUUCUUUUGUCAGGGAAGAGUAGAAGACGGUACCUGACGAAUAAGCCACGGCUAACUACGUGCCAGCAGCCGCGGUAAUACGUAGGGGGCAAGCGUUGUCCGGAUUUACUGGGUGUAAAGGGCGUGUAGCCGGGUUGACAAGUCAGAUGUGAAAUCCUGCGGCUGAACCGCAGAACUGCAUUUGAAACUGGUAAUCUUGAGUACUGGAGAGGCAGGCAGAAUUCCUAGUGUAGCGGUGAAAUGCGUAGAUAUUAGGAGGAACACCAGUGGCGAAGGCGGUCUGCUGGACAGCGACUGACGGUGAGGCGCGAAAGCGUGGGGAGCAAACAGGAUUAGAUACCCGGGUAGUC
rnacentral:rRNA from 1 species